rnacentral:rRNA from 1 species
UACGUAGGGACCAAGCGUUGUCCGGAAUCAUUGGGCGUAAAGAGCGUGUAGGCGGCUUGUUAAGUCUUGCGUGAAAUCUCGGGGCUCAACCCCGAGCGGUCGUGAGAAACUGGCAGGCUAGAGUGCGGGAGAGGAGAGUGGAAUUCCCGGUGUAGAGGUGAAAUUCGUAGAUAUCGUGAGGAACACCAGAGGCGAAGGCGGCUACCUGGACAAUUGCUGACGCUCAGGCACGAAAGCGUGGGGAGCAAAAGGG